rnacentral:rRNA from 1 species
AUUGAACGCUGGCGGAAUGCUUUACACAUGCAAGUCGAACGGCAGCACGGAGAGCUUGCUCUCUGGUGGCGAGUGGCGAACGGGUGAGUAAUAUAUCGGAACGUGUCCAAUAAUGGGGGAUAACGAGUCGAAAGAUUCGCUAAUACCGCAUACGCCCUACGGGGGAAAGCAGGGGAUCGUAAGACCUUGCGUUAAUGGAGCGGCCGAUAUCUGAUUAGCUUGUUGGUGAGGUAAAGGCUCACCAAGGCGACGAUCAGUAGCUGGUUUGAGAGAACGACCAGCCACACUGGAACUGAGACACGGUCCAGACUCCUACGGGAGGCAGCAGUGGGGAAUUUUGGACAAUGGGGGCAACCCUGAUCCAGCCAUUCCGCGUGAGUGAAGAAGGCCUUCGGGUUGUAAAGCUCUUUCGCAAGGGAAGAAAACUUAUGAUCGAAUAAAUCAUGAGGUUGACGGUACCUUGAUAAGAAGCACCGGCUAACUACGUGCCAGCAGCCGCGGUAAUACGUAGGGUGCGAGCGUUAAUCGGAAUUACUGGGCGUAAAGCGUGCGCAGGCGGUUUUGUAAGUCGGAUGUGAAAUCCCCGGGCUCAACCUGGGAACUGCGUUCGAAACUGCAAGGCUAGAGUGUGUCAGAGGGGGGUAGAAUUCCACGUGUAGCAGUGAAAUGCGUAGAGAUGUGGAGGAAUACCAAUGGCGAAGGCAGCCCCCUGGGAUAACACUGACGCUCAUGCACGAAAGCGUGGGGAGCAAACAGGAUUAGAUACCCUGGUAGUCCACGCCCUAAACGAUGUCAACUAGUUGUUGGUAGAGUAAAAUCUAUGAGUAACGUAGCUAACGCGUGAAGUUGACCGCCUGGGGAGUACGGUCGCAAGAUUA